CGGGCAUUCAAGCAACUCAUGAACACUGAUGGACUGAAUCGCUGAGGAAACACUAUUACUGUUGUUGAUGUUGAUAUUGUUGCUGUUGCUUUGAGGCUUUGGAAGUGAAGGGAAUUGAAUAUGGUGGUGAUGGAUCUCAUCCUCGUCUGUCAAAUCUGAGGAUGGCACACUUUCAAUGCUAUCCAAUUCCAUUCAUAAAAUUACCCCCAAACCCCCAAAAAGAGAGAAGGAGAGGUAAUUUUUCAAAUUUAAGGUUUAUUCUCUGAUGGGUAUUCACAAUUCUGUAUCCUUCAUUCCUAGAAGAAAACAAACAAAGUAGGAGUUCAAACGAAAGCG
rnacentral:misc_RNA from 1 species